rnacentral:tRNA from 1 species
GGGUGUAGCUCAGUGGUACAGCACUUGCCUAGUAUGUGCAAAGCCCUGGGUUCAAUCUCCAGCACCACG